UGGGAUUCACUGUAGACAAUUCGAUGUUAGUUCAAGCUUAGCCCAUAUUUAGCUGGGGGGAGGGGUACAUGGGCAUUAUCCAGGCAUCUAUGGAAAGCUGCCUGCCCUUGGCUGGGCAUCCAAACCCCUUCUGAGGGUUACAAGCUUCCUCAACUCUGCACGGGGCCUUUCCUCUGCCAUCUGGGCUAGAUUUGGGGAAACUCCCAGGCAGGGGUGGCUGCUGCUGGUUGCCUGCCCUCGGGUGGGACUGUAAGGCCUGGUAGGCAGGUCUGCCCCUGAGCCUCUCUGUAGCACCCCCUCUUCUCC
rnacentral:lncRNA from 1 species